rnacentral:misc_RNA from 1 species
CAAAGCAUAUUUGUAAAAGCAAUCCCAAAUAUGCUUCAAAUCAUUCCUAAUAUAAGUUCAAGCAACAUAACAAAACAUCACCAGCAAGAUUCAACAAAAUUUGUGCUCAACUACAUAGAACCAAAUUCAGAUUUAAGCACUUAAUAAAAUACUAAUAAAGCACGAGAAACUCAAUUCAUCAGAAUAGGAGUUGGAGCAUCAGACAAUAGCAUUUGCAGCACUUGCAAUUCGAGGCCAUAGAUCAGCACACUCUUUUCCAAUUGGCCCAGUGAUGGCAGAACCUUUCAUUUCACCCUUUGGAUUCACAAUCACUCCAGCAUUAUCUUCAAAGUACAUGUAGACCCCGUCCUUUCGGCGCCACGGCUUGCGCUGCCUCACGAUGACAGCCGGCAUGACCUUCUUACGCAGAUCCGGCUUCCCCUUCUUCACAGUCGCCAUCACCAUGUCCCCAACGCAAGCCGAAGGGAGGCGAUUGAGCCGGCCCUUGAUCCCCUUCACCGAGAUGAUGUACAGGUUCUUCGCCCCGGUGUUGUCGGCGCAGUUCACCGUCGCCGCAACCGGCAGACCUAGCGACAUACGGAACUUGUUCCCCGCCGAUCCUCCACGCCCUCGCUUCGACAUGAUGGAAGCUCCGAU